GACGGAAGGUGCAAGCGUUGCUCGGAAUCACUGGGCGUAAAGGGUGCGUAGGCGGCUUGGUGGGUCUGGUGUGAAAGCCCCGGGCUCAGCCCGGGAAGGGCACUAGAAACUGCCGAGCUGGAGUGCCGGAGGGGAGAGUGGAAUUCCUGGUGUAGCGGUGAAAUGCGCAGAUAUCAGGAAGAACACCAAUGGCGAAAGCAGCUCUCUGGGACGGUACUGACGCUGAGACGCGAAAGCGUGGGGAGCGAACAGG
rnacentral:rRNA from 1 species